AUUGAACGCUGGCGGCAGGCUAACACAUGCAAGUCGAGCGGGGUGAUGGUGCUUGCACUAUCACUUAGCGGCGGACGGGUGAGUAAUGCUUGGGAAUCUGCCUAUUAGUGGGGGACAACAUCUCGAAAGGGAUGCUAAUACCGCAUACGUCCUACGGGAGAAAGCAGGGGAUCACUUGUGACCUUGCGCUAAUAGAUGAGCCUAAGUCGGAUUAGCUAGUUGGUGGGGUAAAGGCCUACCAAGGCGACGAUCUGUAGCGGGUCUGAGAGGAUGAUCCGCCACACUGGGACUGAGACACGGCCCAGACUCCUACGGGAGGCAGCAGUGGGGAAUAUUGGACAAUGGGGGGAACCCUGAUCCAGCCGUGCCGCGUGUGUGAAGAAGGCCUUAUGGUUGUAAAGCACUUUAAGCGAGGAGGAGGCUACUUUAGUUAAUACCUAGAGAUAGUGGACGUUACUCGCAGAAUAAGCACCGGCUAACUCUGUGCCAGCCGCCGCCGUAA
rnacentral:rRNA from 1 species